CUAAAAUGAAACACUCUAAAAAUAUGGCUUGGAGGCGUAAAAUAGACGUCUCCGUGAUGUACAUGUGCUAUCAGAUAGCUUGGGUCAGCAUCACUAGUUUUAUUGGUUUAAUGGAUGAAAAUGUUUAACUUUGUAUUUAAAUAAAAACACUCAAACCCAAAUGCAUGCUACUGGAAAGAGCCAUCAGGUUGACCGAGAGGGCUCUAGCAUUUACUCUGCUCUCUUCCGUUGCACCACGGUUGGGCCGCAGCAGUUGUCUGUGUGAUUUAUUGUGAUUACCGCAAUGGCAGCCGCUCCACAGAGUGGAAGGGCUCCGAGAUUAAUGAGCGCAGUGAUAAAAGUGCUAGCGAGUAGCGCGUUUGCUACUUAAUAGCUCCUGAAAUGAGGCGCCCCGCCAUGCUGCGCCUCCUGCCCCUCCCCCUGGGAUUUCAUUACUUUAAGACAAAUGGAUGAAUACGCAUUGAAGUGGGGUUUAAGGAGCGGGGAGAGCAGAGAUGGUUUGUAAUUACCGUAAUCAGAGAGAGAGCAUUUCUAACGUGCCAGAAACAUGCACUGAGGUCACAGCAGGAGGACGGAGGGGCCAGCUGAAACAAAACAAGGAGCACAGAAAGUCACCUGCAGUCGACAGGAUUCUCAGCAGGCAGCUGGAAGUCACGGUGGCUGCAGACCACAGACCGUCUGUCUUAUACUGUCUCUGAUGAACCACACACGAUCGGAAAAUGUCUUUCGGAUCAGCCAAACAAAAUCUGAUGUCAAAUGGACUCAAGUCUGCAUCAAAAUCUCCUUGUCACUUUGGAUAAAAGCAUCUGCUAAACGACAACUUCCUGUACUCUACGAAAGAUGAAAGGUGAAAGAAAAUAAGUGCUAAUCUCAAUCUUUUGAUCAUUAAAAUGAACUCUGCAUUGAAAGGGCGUUAAAUGUUAUGGUUUAUUGAAUUUUAACUACUCCCUGCCUUGUGGCUAAUGGCCAAAUCGUACAGCCAGUCACUGGGGGGCUACAGCCCUUUGUGCAACCAAAAUGGCUGCAUGUAGGUCUGCUAAAAAAAAAAAAAANNNNNNNNNUUUUUUUUUUUUUUACUUAAACAGGUGCUCACAGUCUUUCAGUGGCCUUGGUUUAAAAAAAAAAUGAGAGGGGGAUGAUGGGAUUUAAUGGUCCACACCAGAGAACAAAGCUCGGCUUCAUACAAAGGUGGAAGUCUCUGGCUGUGUGCCAGUCCACAGUCAAUGCCCAAAAACACGUACAUGAACGCUGCCUGUUUUGGAUGGCUUUUAGAAAUGAAAAAAAUAAUAAUAACAAAAUAAAAUACCACAGUAUGCUUAAUUGGGGAUGUUG
ensembl:lncRNA